UACGUAGGGUGCGAGCGUUGUCCGGAAUUAUUGGGCGUAAAGAGCUCGUAGGCGGUCUGUCGCGUCGGUCGUGAAAACUUGGGGCUUAACCCUGAACUUGCGGUCGAUACGGGCAUGACUGGAGUUCGGUAGGGGAGACUGGAAUUCCUGGUGUAGCGGUGAAAUGCGCAGAUAUCAGGAGGAACACCGAUGGCGAAGGCAGGUCUCUGGGCAUUAACUGACGCUGAGGAGCGAAAGCGUGGGGAGCGAUCCGG
rnacentral:rRNA from 1 species